GAAGAUAUAGUUUAACGGCAAGAAUGCUUGGCUCCAGACCAAGAGAUGAGAGUUCGAAUCUUUCUAUCUUCA
rnacentral:tRNA from 1 species